AAGUCGUAACAAGGUUUCUGUAGGUGAACCUGCGGAAGGAUCAUUAACACGUAUCCAAACGUUAAAACCCCCCCCGUGAACCUUCAUCCUGCUCUUGUAACCCGCGUAGUUCGCAAUCUCUAAUAAAUCAUAGCCCGGAAAGUUGUAGUGAUUCAGCUCAAGCAGUCAGUGUCGGAAAAUGUCAUUGAUUGUGCAAGGAUAGCGCUUCUACGAUUCCUAAAGACCGUACACUCGGGCAGGAGUUUUGCCAAAGGGUCCCCAUGCCCCCUAAUAACCCCACAGUUUAAUGUGAAGCUCAAUGUAAUACAUUGGGUAAAAAAACCGAACAACUGUUAACAAUGGAUAUCUUGGUUAUC
rnacentral:misc_RNA from 1 species